rnacentral:lncRNA from 1 species
AAUCAAGACAUAAACGUAAACUGCAUAGAACCUUGUUCGUAAAAGCGCAGAAGACAGUUUGCAGUUGUAAAUGAAAUCAAGACGUAAACGUAAACUGCACAGAACCUUGUUCGUAAAAGCGCAGAAGACAGUUUGCAGUUGUAAAUGAAAUCAAGACGUAAACGUAAACUGCACAGAAUUCGUUCGUAAAAGCGCAGAGAGCAGAGGCUAAGUAGGAGGUUUGCAGUAAUGAUAAAGUGCUCAAAAUAAACGUAAACCAGAGAUUUAGAGUGGUUCGGUCAGUCUUGACCUACUCCACUUUUGGCUUCCUCCACCGAUGAGGUCACCGACGUCAACUAGAAGCCUUCCUUCAAUAGGCGAAGGCCAACUACCCUCUUACAGAUUCACUCCUUUUGAUGGGCUUAGGAGACAACCCUUACAAAUGUUUUCUCUCCUCACUUUACAACUCAAACUUGAAGAACAGAAGGAGGAAAACUAGCAGUUUUGAGCUCUAAGAACCACUGAAAAGAUCAAGAUUUCGGCUUGAGUUCUU